CCUACGGGUGGCUGCAGUGGGGAAUCUUGCGCAAUGGACGAAAGUCUGACGCAGCCACGCCGCGUGAGUGAAGAAGGCCUUCGGGUUGUAAAGCUCUGUCGGAAGGGACAAAAACCAUUAUGGUUAAUAGCCAUAGUGCUUGAUGGUACCUUUAAAGGAAGCACCGGCUAACUUCGUGCCAGCAGCCGCGGUAAUACGAAGGGUGCAAGCGUUGCUCGGAAUUAUUGGGCGUAAAGGGUAGGUAGGUGGUAAUAAAAGUCUGGGGUGAAAUCCCU
rnacentral:rRNA from 1 species